rnacentral:rRNA from 1 species
CCUACGGGAGGCAGCAGUGAGGAAUAUUGGUCAAUGGGCGUAAGCCUGAACCAGCCAAGUCGCGUGAGGGAUGAAGGCUCUAUGGAUUGUAAACUUCUUUUAUACGGGAAUAAAGUGUGGGACGUGUCCUAUUUUGUAUGUACCUUAUGAAUAAGGAUCGGCUAACUCCGUGCCAGCAGCCGCGGUAAUACGGAGGAUCCGAGCGUUAUCCGGAUUUAUUGGGUUUAAAGGGUGCGUAGGCGGGCUUUUAAGUCAGCGGUGAAAGUUUGUGGCUCAACCGUAGAAUUGCCGUUGAAAAUGGGGGGCUUGAGUAUGUUUGAGGCAGGCGGAAUGCGUGGUGUAGCGGUGAAAUGCUUAGAUAUCACGCAGAACCCCGAUUGCGAAGGCAGCCUGC